rnacentral:rRNA from 1 species
CGGCAACAGCUCAAAUUUGAAAUCUGGCCCCGGCCCGAGUUGUAAUUUGUAGAAGGUGCUUCGGGCGCGACUCUGGUUCAAGUCCCUUGGAACAGGGCGUCCUAGAGGGUGAGAAUCCCGUACGUGGCCGAGAGUCAAGUCCAUGUGAAGCCCUUUCGAC